ACGAUGAGGUCAUGCAGGUAUGACCUCUGAUCAUAUGCCUUAGGUAAUGCUUCAGAAGCUAUUCAUCGUAUUUUAGUUUUGGUUAGGUAGGUAUAAUGUCCAUUAUAAGCUCAUAUAUAUUUGGGUUCUUCCAAGUAUUUGUGCAAGAAUUACUAAAAAAUACCCCUAAUUUAUUAUCUAAAGUAGUUAGCAGUAAUAUUGUAUUCAUGAUUAUCAGCAAUAAAAAGCCCAUCUACUUUAGCCACAUUUCUCCCCCACAGAUGUACUGGAUUUUGGGGAAUCCAGACUAUCCAGAUGGUUGGAAUUUGAGGAGCCCGUUGAGUGCCCAUUUGAUGUCAAAACACAACCGGACGUAAGAGGUAGAAAUGAGCUUUAACAGAAAUAUGGAGAAUGAUUUGAGGGAUUGUAAAUGGUUGAGAUAGAGAAUCAUUUGAGCGGUUGUAAAUGGUUGAGAUAGCAAAAUAUGAAUAUCUUAUAUUGAUUAAGUUUUCUAUGAAGGAUUUUGCAUUACAUGCACCGGCGGAGCGUCGGCGGGACCAAGGAGGGUCCCGGCCCCCUUUUCAUGUGUAACAUUGCAAGGAUAAGCUUGUCCUAAAACUAAACACCCUAUUAAUCUUCCGGCCAUGGUUUAGGUUUAGCUUCAGGUUCAAACUGCUCAGAACAUCAUACUAUUGCAGUCUAGCUUUCCAACUUUUCUUGGUCCAGAGUAACCAGAGAGAAGUGAAGAACUCAACUAGGUAGAUUAGAUGCCCCUUGUGUGGGUGAGAAUAUUUAUUUUUCUUAACCAAGCUCUCAAGAUACUAAGGAAAUAAUGAUUGUUAACCUACAUGCAUCAUGUUCAACUCAUCUUCUUCGCAACCAGUACAUUUUAUUUUUGCAUGUCCAUUGCUCAUUUUAACUUCUGCCAUUUAUUCCUAGGAGCUCAUAUAUAUUUCUUUUCUUUUCUCCUUUCGCAUAUGGUCUCAUUGUUACUUCAAUAAUAGUACUAUGCAAUCCAAUUUUUUCUCCAGGAGCCAAUGGUCAAGUUUGUACAUUUUUUUGUUUUUGAAAGAUGUCCUACCAGCUCUAUUGUCUAUAAAUGGUUCGGUCUAUGAUUUUUGUCGGGGAUUCGCCGCUUCUUUUGGAGGUACGACGUCUACAUCUAUCAGCUGUUCUGCCACGAAUUCUGAUGCACUUUUAAUGUAUCUUGGAUUAAAACAAGCAUGAGAACUUGCCAAGCCAUCUGGAAAUGCCAUCAGAGCCGAAACAUUUUUUAGGUUGCUGACAGCAUUGAGCUGGACUUGCUUUUUAUGCUACUACUGCUGAAGACAAACUCCAGAGAAGGGAGUGAAAGUAGAAAGAAGAGAGGUUGCACAAGAUGAGUAAUGAUGGGUAGCGAUAGAGGCUGAAACUGUGAUGAUGAUGCGGAUCUGACCAUUAGUAUGUUUCCCAUCAAGGAAAUCUACAAUUUCUAUUAUGAUACAGAUUUUUUAUUAUGAGGUCUGUUUCUCAUAAAGAAUGUGAUUUCUGCAUGAUAGUUUUCUAUUGAAGGUUUUAUGCAAAGACUGACAUUUAAGAAGGAUGUAGUAAAAUGUAAACCUUGGUAGGUACUCCUGAAGUUGAAGCUACUCAGGCAAUAGUAAUUUCUUUUUCCGAGAACUGAACUACUGUUUCAGGUUUUGCUUAAUAUUGUUAUUCCUCGUAGGAUGUUCAAGAUGUACACCCUUUAAAUUUUGUACUUACCAUAGCUUCAGGUCCACUUGUGAGCUCUUAUGCAAUUUUGCUUAAGUUAGAUUACAUUGGGGUUGCUUUGACCUUAUGGUCAUGUAUAUACCAACGAGGAC
rnacentral:lncRNA from 1 species